UGGGGUAACUGCCAUUCUGUCCUAAAAAAGUGUCCAAUGUUGUACGGGCAGUGUCCCAAACGGAAUCACAGAGAGAGAGAGGAGAAGAGGGAGAGAGAGAGAGGAGAGAGGAGAGGAGAGAAGAAAAGAGACAAAGAGGAGAGAGGAGAGAGAGAGAGGAGAGAGGAGAGCAGAGAGACAAGGAGACAGAGAGAGAGGAGAGAAGGAGGAGAGAGAGACGAGAGGAGAAAAGAGACAAAGAGGGAGAGAGGGGAGAGAGAGAGAGAGGAGAGGAGAGAGACAGGAGACAGAGAGAGAGAGGAGAGAGGAGAGCAGAGAGACAGGAGACAGAGAGAGGAGAGAGGAGAGCAGAGAGACAGGAGACAGAGAGAGAGGGAGAGAGAGAGGAGAGAGGAGACGGAGAGGAGGAAAAGAGACAGAGAGGAAAGAGGGAGAGAGAGAGGGAAAGGAGAGGGAAGAGAGACAGGAGACAGAGAGAGAGGGAGAGAGAGAGGAGAGGAGGAGAGGAGAGGAAGAAAGGAGAUAGAGAGGAGAGAGGAGAGAGAAGAGGACAGGAGACAGAAGAGAGAGGGAGAAGAGAGGAGAGAGGAGAGGCAGAAGGAGAUAGAGAGGAGAGGAGAGAGACAGAGAGAGAGGGAGGAAAAAAGAGGGAAUUUGAUUUUUUUAGGGUCCCUUGUGUGAAGGCGAUCAAAAAGCCAGGGGCGGGAAUCU
rnacentral:lncRNA from 1 species